rnacentral:sRNA from 1 species
CUACAACAUGACAAACAAAAACAAAUGCGUAACGGAACUUUACGAAACAUAGACACUCUAACCUGUUGCUUGCUCAUAGUGCGGCUUAUGGAGUGGCGUUUCGAAAGCGCGUGGAAAUUUGGUUUGGGGAGACAUUACCUCGGAUGAGCGAGCAGUUAACGGACCAGGUCCUGGUUGAACGGGUCCAGAAGGGAGAUCAGAAAGCCUUUAACUUACUGGUAGUGCGCUACCAGCAUAAAGUGG